AUCCUGAUUGCUGCCUACACUGUCAAAAAACUGUCUCCGUACGUGUGGAGGAGGCUAAAGAGAGGGGCAGCAGUGAUCAGGGAGGCGGGGCUAAAACACCUGUGGGCGUGGUCAGCACUGUGGAGGGCGGUGAAGAUGAGAACAAGAAGAAGAAAGUGGACAGGUCUCCAUCAGUCAACAGAGACUUCAUCCUCAGACUGUCUCACCUGCUGA